rnacentral:rRNA from 1 species
AAUGAGCCUGCGAGUUGUGGUGUCUGGCAAGGUUAAGCAAACGCGAAGCCGUAGCGAAAGCGAGUCUGAAUAGGGCGCUUAGUCAGAUGCUGCAGACCCGAAACGAAGUGAUCUAUCCAUGAGCAAGUUGAAGCUAGUGUAAGAACUAGUGGAGGACUGAACCCAUAGGCGUUGAAAAGCCCCGGGAUGACUUGUGGAUAGGGGUGAAAGGCCAAUCAAACUUCGUGAUAGCUGGUUCUCUCCGAAAUAUAUUUAGGUAUAGCGUUGUGUCGUAAUAUAAGGGGGUAGAGCACUGAAUGGGCUAGGGCAUACACCAAUGUACCAAACCCUAUCAAACUCCGAAUACCUUAUAUGUAAUCACAGCAGUCAGGCGGCGAGUGAUAAAAUCCGUCGUCAAGAGGGAAACAACCCAGACUACCAGCUAAGGUCCCUAAAUCUUACUUAAGUGGAAAACGAUGUGAAGUUACUUAAACAACCAGGAGGUUGGCUUAGAAGCAGCCAUCCUUUAAAGAAAGCGUAAUAGCUCACUGGUCUAGUGAUUUUGCGCGGAAAAUAUAACGGGGCUAAAGUAAGUACCGAAGCUGUAGACUUAGUUUACUAAGUGGUAGGAGAGCGUUCUAUUUGCGUCGAAGGUAUACCGGUAAGGAGUGCUGGAGCGAAUAGAAGUGAGCAUGCAGGCAUGAGUAGCGAUAAUUAAUGUGAGAAUCAUUAACGCCGUAAACCCAAGGUUUCCUACGCGAUGCUCGUCAUCGUAGGGUUAGUCGGGUCCUAAGUCGAGUCCGAAAGGGGUAGACGAUGGCAAAUUGGUUAAUAUUCCAAUACCAACAUUAGUGUGCGAUGGAAGGACGCUUAGGGCUAAGGGGGCUAGCGGAUGGAAGUGCUAGUCUAAGGUCGUAGGAGGUUGUACAGGCAAAUCCGUAUAACAAUACUCCGAGAACUGAAAGGCUUUUUGAAGUCUUCGGAUGGAUAGAAGAACCCCUGAUGCCGUCGAGCCAAGAAAAGUUUCUAAGUUUAGCUAAUGUUGCCCGUACCGUAAACCGACACAGGUGGGUGGGAUGAGUAUUCUAAGGCGCGUGGAAGAACUCUCUUUAAGGAACUCUGCAAAAUAGCACCGUAUCUUCGGUAUAAGGUGUGGUUAGCUUCGUACUAGGAUUUACUCCGAAAGCGAAGAAACUUACAACAAAGAGUCCCUCCCGACUGUUUACCAAAAACACAGCACUCUGCUAACUCGUAAGAGGAUGUAUAGGGUGUGACGCCUGCCCGGUGCUCGAAGGUUAAUUGAUGGGGUUAGCAUUAGCGAAGCUCUUGAUCGAAGCCCGAGUAAACGGCGGCCGUAACUAUAACGGUCCUAAGGUAGCGAAAUUCCUUGUCGGUUAAAUACCGACCUGCAUGAAUGGCGUAACGAGAUGGGAGCUGUCUCAAAGAGGGAUCCAGUGAAAUUGUAGUGGAGGUGAAAAUUCCUCCUACCCGCGGCAAGACGGAAAGACCCCGUGGACCUU